AGAGUUUGAUUCUGGCUCAGGACGAACGCUGGCGGCGUGGUUUAGGCAUGCAAGUCGAACGGUAUAUAUGCCUUCGGGUGUAUAGAGAGUGGCGAACGGGUGAGUAACACGUAGAUAAUCUACCCUCAAGAGGGGGAUAACCCAGGGAAACUUGGGCUAAUACCGCAUGAGUGCAUCAGUAAUGGUGUAUAAAAGGUGGCCUUCGGGCUGUCGUUUGGGGAUGAGUCUGCGUCCUAUUAGUUAGUUGGCGAGGUAAAUGCUCACCAAGGCGAUGAUAGGUAGGCGGCCUUAGCGGGUGGUCGCCCACACUGGGAUCGAGAUACGGCCCAGACUCCUACGGGAGGCAGCAGUCGAGAAUAGUCUACAAUGGACGAAAGUCUGAUAGUGCGACGCCGCGUGAACGAAGAAUCCCUUAUGGGGUGUAAAGUUCUUUUAUAUGUGAGCAAUGGCGUAUAUAUUAAUAGUAUGUACGCAGAGAUAUUAGCAUAUGAAUAAGCAACGGCUAACUCCGUGCCAGCAGCCGCGGUAACACGGGGGUUGCAAGCGUUGUCCGGAAUUACUAGGCGUAAAGGGCAGGUAGGCGGAUCAGUAAGUUUGAUGUUAAACCCUUCGGCUCCCCCGAUGACAGGCCAUCAAAAACUGCUGUUCUGGAAUACGGUUGNGGNNGNCNGNNUUCCUGGUGUNGCGGUGGNNUGCGCNGNGCUCCGGNGGNNUNCCGNNUGCGNNGGCCGUCUUCUGGGCCGUUAUUUGACGUUAAACUGCGAAGGGUGUGGGGAUCAAACAGGGAUUAGAUACCCUGGUAGUCCCCACACCAAAACGAUAAUCACUAGGUGUUGGGUUCGCAGCGAACUCGGUGCCGUAGCUAACGCGUUAAGUGAUUCGCCUGGGGAGUACGAUCGCAAGGUUGAAACUCAAAGGAAUUGACGGGGGCCCGCACAAGCGGUGGAGCAUGUGGUUUAAUUCGAUGCAACGCGAAGAACCUUACCCGGUCUUGACAUCCGUGGGAUCCUUCAGAGAUGAGGGAGUGCCCUCUGGGGAGCCACGAGACAGGUGCUGCAUGGCUGUCGUCAGCUCGUGUCGUGAGAUGUUGGGUUAAGUCCCGCAACGAGCGCAACCCCCGCAUCCAGUUGCCAUCAUUAGGUCGGGGACUCUGGAUGGACCACUGCGGUAACAACGCAGAGGAAGGUGGGGAGGACGUCAAGCAAUCAUGGUCCUUACGACCGGGGCUACACACGUGCUACAAUGGUAGUUACAGAGGGUUGCUAAGCCGUAAGGUGGAGCUAAUCUCAUAAAAGCUACGCAAGUUC
rnacentral:rRNA from 1 species